UAUAUUUAAAAAUAGUUUUUAUAAAUACAAAAAAAAAAAAGUGUUUAUAAAUCAAAAAAAUGUUUUAUAAAUACAAAAUUAGUUUUAAUAAAUAUAAAUAUUUUUAUAAAUAUGAAAUCAUCUUUUAUAAAUCUAAAAAUCGAAUUUAUAUACAAAAAACGUUUUGUAAAAUCGAAUUUAUAUAGAAAAAAACGUUUUGUAAAUACAAAAAUAAUAAACAAUUUAUAAAAAAAUUCUAAAUCAAUUCAACACAACCAAAUCACAAUUCUAAACCUAUUACACAACAAAUCACAAUCCUACCCAAUCACCCUAACAAAAAUCUAUCAAAAAACUUCUAAAAUCAUCAAAUCUACUUAAAAAC
rnacentral:lncRNA from 1 species